rnacentral:rRNA from 1 species
CUGAAUAACUUAGUCGAUCGCAUGGUCUUAGCACCGGCGACGCAUCUUUCAAGUGUCUGCCUUAUCAACUUUCGAUGGUAGGUUAUGCGCCUACCAUGGUUGUAACGGGUAACGGAGAAUCAGGGUUUGAUUCCGGAGAGGGAGCCUGAGAGAUGGCUACCACAUCCAAGGAAGGCAGCAGGCACGCAAAUUACCCACUCCCGGCACGGGGAGGUAGUGACGAAAAAUAACGAGGUAGUCCUCUACGAGGCCUACCAUCGGAAUGAGAACAAUUUAAAUCCUUUAACGAGGAACUAUUGGAGGGCAAGUCUGGUGCCAGCAGCCGCGGUAAUUCCAGCUCCAAUAGCGUAUAUUAAAGUUGUUGCGGUUAAAAAG